rnacentral:rRNA from 1 species
GACGUAGGGGGCCAGCGUUGUUCGGAAUUACUGGGUGUAACGGGUUCGUAGGCGGUGCGGCAAGUUGGGGGUGAAAUCUCUGGGCUUAACCCAGAGGCUGCUUCCAAAACUGCUGUGCUUGAGUGUGGGAGAGGCGCGUGGAAUUGCAGGUGUAGCGGUGAAAUGCGUAGAUAUCUGCAGGAACACCCGUGGCGAAAGCGGCGCGCUGGACCACUACUGACGCUGAGGAACGAAAGCUAGGGGAGCAAACAGG